rnacentral:rRNA from 1 species
UACGGAGGGUGCAAGCGUUGUCCGGAUUCACUGGGCUUAAAGGGUGCGUAGGUGGGCAGUUAAGUCAGCGGUGAAAUCCCCGAGCUUAACUUGGGAACUGCCAUUGAUACUAUCUGUCUUGAAUACCUUGGAGGUGAGCGGAAUAUGUCAUGUAGCGGUGAAAUGCUUAGAUAUGACAUAGAACACCAAUUGCGAAGGCAGCUCACUACACGGUCAUUGGCACUGAGGCACGAAAGCGUGGGGAUCAAACAGG